GGAUUGAAGUAGGAGAGGAAGAAAAAAACGUCAUUGCAUUUUCAAGUUUAGUGAUUUUAGGCUUGCCAAAACGAUAGGGAUGACAGCUAGGUUACGAGACAAAUCACCAGUGCUUGGCAAUACAUAAGAUGAUGUCCAGCAAGGGAUCGACAACCUGCCUUGACCGGUCAUGUUUUUUUCAUUAUCAUCAUGCAAUGCAACAGAGAGGUUGAAAUUGCAGUGGCAUGGAUGGCAUGGAUUCUCUCGUUUUGUUGGUAGUGUCAAAGGCAUGAAAUAGAUGUAGCCAAAGAAUGUUUGACAAUGUUUGAUGCUCCUUGGUACCACUUUCUUGCAUAGCCUAGGCAAAAUUAAGGGAUAUUUUUAUAUUUUGUUGAUUAAUGCUCUGAAUAAAUACACUUCAAAGUGUUGAUUACUUUUUAGGGUGUUAGUUAAUGUGUAGCACCUAUUGUUGUUCUCUUUAUUUUUGGUGAGGAAUGGUUGUCCCUUGGCUCAGAAGUUCACUUUAGAUUCAAAAGACACAUAAUGUGUAUUUGAGUUUUGGUUUAUAUUUCAAACAAGAGUGGUAUGAUGGUAA